rnacentral:misc_RNA from 1 species
GAUGAAGAACGUAGCGAAAUGCGACAAGUAAUGCGAAUUGCAGAAUUCAGUGAGUCAUCGAAUCUUUGAACGCACAUUGCGCCCUGUGGUAUUCCGCAGGGCAUGCCUGUUCGAGCGUCAUUUCAACCCUCAAGCCUCGCUUGGUGUUGGGCCCUGCCCGCCGCGGCCGGCCCUAAAGAUAGUGGCGGCGCCGCCUGGCCCUCAGCGUAGUACAGCUCUCGCUCCAGGGUCCGGCGGCAGCCUGCCAGAACCCCCCAACUCUGUGGUUGACCUCGGAUCAGGUAGGGAUACCCGCUGAACUUAAGCAUAUCAAUAAGCGGAGGA